UUGAUCAUGGCUCAGAUUGAACGCUGGCGGCAGGCCUAACACAUGCAAGUCGAGCGGCAGCACAGAGAAACUUGUUUCUCGGGUGGCGAGCGGCGGACGGGUGAGUAAUGCCUGGGAAAUUGCCCUGAUGUGGGGGAUAACCAUUGGAAACGAUGGCUAAUACCGCAUGAUGCCUACGGGCCAAAGAGGGGGACCUUCGGGCCUCUCGCGUCAGGAUAUGCCCAGGUGGGAUUAGCUAGUUGGUGAGGUAAGGGCUCACCAAGGCGACGAUCCCUAGCUGGUCUGAGAGGAUGAUCAGCCACACUGGAACUGAGACACGGUCCAGACUCCUACGGGAGGCAGCAGUGGGGAAUAUUGCACAAUGGGCGCAAGCCUGAUGCAGCCAUGCCGCGUGUGUGAAGAAGGCCUUC
rnacentral:rRNA from 1 species